rnacentral:rRNA from 1 species
GAUCAUGGCUCAGGAUGAACGCUAGCGACAGGCCUAACACAUGCAAGUCGAGGGGCAGCGAAGAGGUAGCAAUACCUCUGUCGGCGACCCGGCGCACGGGUGAGUAACACGUAUGCAAUCCACCUGUAACAGGGGGAUAACCCGGAGAAAUCCGGACUAAUACCCCAUAAUAUGGGCGCUCCGCAUGGAGAGCCCAUUAAAGAGAGCAAUUUUGGUUACAGACGAGCAUGCG